AUACGGAGGAUGCGAGCGUUAUCCGGAUUCAUGGGGUUUAAAGGGUGCGUAGGCGGAAUAAUAAGUCAGGGGUGAAAGUUUGCGGCUCAACCGUACAAUUGCCUUUGAUACUGUUAUUCUUGAGUACACGCGAGGUAUGCGGAAUGUGAUGUGUAGCGGUGAAAUGCUUAGAUAUAUCACAGAACACCGAUUGCGAAGGCAGCAUACUAGAGUGUCACUGACGCUGAUGCACGAAAGCGUGGGUAUCGAACAGGAUUAGAAACCCUAGUAGUCC
rnacentral:rRNA from 1 species